GACGCAGUCGAAGAAAGGGUGGUCCAAACCAGUCCUUCGGUGGCGGCAACCACCAACAGACCACCCAUCCCCGUCCAUGGCAGCAUCCGCCACCAUGGUGGCAGUAUAACGCCGGUUGGGCUACAUCGGGUUGAGCAGUGCCUCCAUGCCCGUACCCACCAUCUUCCUGGACACGCCCCCCAUCAGUACGUCAACCGGAAAUUUUAGGACAACGUCCGCAGCAAGCUUACAGCGCUCAGGCGCCCAGCUCCCCCUCCUGUGCACCCAUGGAUAUUGAAGCAGCGAUGCAUACUAUGUCUCUCAACGUUCCCGAUGACGAUUGGUACAUGGACACCAGUGCUACUUCGCAUAUGACGGCAUCGCAAGGUACUCUUUCGUCUUAUUUUAAUUCGAGCAAUCAUAGCCUAGAAUCAAGCAUUGUAAUCAUGUAUACAUAGUGAGUUUGUGAAAUGAGAAGGACUCACAGAAGAUAUUUCCUUCAAUAACACCAAAAAUUAUCCCCAACCAUUUAAAAAGUAAAAAUUUACAACUUAUAUAUAAGUAUUAUUUCAUCCCAUAAUAACAUCCAUAUAUUUAGCCAAGCUAAUAAUUCACUAAUUUUCACCAGAAAUCACAUGUAUAUAUGUAUACAUAGACAUAAUUACUAAUUUUCUCUUAAAGUUCACAUGAAAAUAAUUGCCUGAAAUAAAUUUAUUAAAAUAAAUCACAUUAUUUAUUUAUUUAUUAAAACAAUAACCUUACAACUAUGGAGUGGAGACUUAGUUGAUGAAAUCCAGUAGAAAUUGGUUGCAGUGAGUCCUUCUCUUCUUGAUUCUCUCUUAAUUUGGUUGUAUUUUGAUUGCUACGAACUUUUAAGAGGCUUUGGUUGCUGCGAAUUGUUAGAUAUUGCGGCUAGGGUUUGAAGUGGAUUAAAU
rnacentral:lncRNA from 1 species